rnacentral:lncRNA from 1 species
AGGCAUAUGUGUGAUAGGAAAGGUUCAUGGUUUCUUUUUCAUCUGGAGACUUAUAGGAUAUGUAAGAAUUUACUAGUAAAUUGGUUGGAUGAAAUGUUGCUUCUACACUCACUGGUACUAUUUAAAAUUAUACUUUGUUUUACAUAUGUAUGGAUUUCAGUUAGAUGUGUAUUUGUUUUAAGUGUGUGUAAUUAAAGAAAAAUGAUUUUUGUGUGUAUAAAAGUCAUUCAAUAAAGCCAGUAACUACCAUUUUACUUAUUAAUUAUGACAGUUUUCAUACAACUUCAAAAAUAAUACAUUUGACUCAUACUCUAAAUGGUAAAGCUUAUUUUUAAUAGUCUAAAGGAUUACCUUAUACUAGAAAAAAAAAAAAAAAAAACUCUAUCACAAAAUACAGUUCCAGGCCAAUGCAAAUACUUGGAAUUUGGGAAGAACCACAAAGUAAACUAUUUAAAUUUCAUAUUUUAAUUUGAUCCUUUAAAACUUUAACUACAAACACAAUGGCAGUGUGAGUGGUGAGAUAAAGUCUCUGUGUACUCACAUUUUCCAGCAAAAGAGAUGCGUGUGCCUUUGAGAAAACACAUGGGAUUCUAUGUGCUUAGUUCAGGUUCCCUAAACUUGAGAAGGAAGAACACAGGCCACACACACUUGAGGGUGCUGAAACCCAGCGGCUCAUCAGGUCAAAGCAAGGAGCCAUAGGAGAAAUGCUAGAACCAAGGAGAUGGGGAUAGGUAGAAAGAUGUUUCUUAUAAAGCCUAAGAAAACAAACAAACAAACAAAAAGCAAAAAAAAACACCAGAAAGUUGUGUCAUUAAGAAUUCCACAGAAUGGUCAAAGUCAAAGAUAACUAAGGGCUUAUCAUUGCCUGUCUUCCAUCCAUCAGUACCAAGACCUGAAGGGAAGCUGCGAGCCAACCCUACAUUUGGACAAACGUCACUGUCAAUGGGUAAUGGCCUGAAAGCAAUUAUAGGGAUCAUUGCACAAAAGACUCGGAGUUACUGGAGCCAACUCCUGGAAUCUAUUUCAAAUGUAAUGCAUAUACUUUCCAUCCAGUGGACUUUCCAUCCUUGUAGACCGAGUAGAAUCUAGGUCUGUAAACUGUGCAGAAACAAUAUAAACACCAUCACCAUCAGAAUUUUUUCUUUUUAUUUGUUUAUUUUUAUUAGAUAUUUUCUUUAUAUACAUUUCAAAUGCUCUCCCGAAAGUUUCCUAUACCCUCCCUCUGCCCUGCUCCCCUACCCACCCACUCCCGCUUCUUGGUCCUGGCUUUCCCCUGUACUGGGGCAUAUAAAGUUUGCAAUACCAAGGGGCCUCUCUUCCCAGUGAUGGCCAACUAGGCCAUCUUCUGCUACAUAUGCAGCUAGAGAUACGAGCUCUGGGGGUACUGGUUAGUUCAUACUGUUGUUCCACCUAUAGGGUUGCAGACCCCUUCAGCUCCUUGGGUGCUUUCUCUAGCUUCUCCAUUGGAGGCCCCGUGUUCCAUCUUAUAGAUGACUGUGAGCAUCCACUUCUGUAUUUGCCAGGCACUGGCAUAACCUCAUACGAGACAGCUAUAACAGGGUCCCUUCAGCAAAAUCUUUCUGGUAUAUGCAAUAGUGUCUGGGUUUGGUGGAUGAUUAUGGGAUGGAUCCCUGGGUGGGGUAGUCUCUGGAUGGUCCAUCCUUUCAUCUUAGCUCCAAACUUUGUCUCUGUAACUCCUUUCAUGGGUAUUUUGUUCCCUAUUCUAAGGAGGAAUGAAGUAUCCACCCAUUGGUCUUCCCUCUUCUUGAUUUUCUUGUGUUUUGCAAAUUGUAUCAUGGGUGUUCUAUGUUUCUGGGCUAAUAUCUACUUAUCAGUGAGUGCAUAUCUAAUGACUUCUUUUGUGAUUGGUUACCUCACUAAGGAUGAUAUCCUCCAGAUACAUCCACUUGUCCAGGACUUUCAUAAAUCCAUUGUUUUUAAUAGCUGAGUAGUAGUACUCCAUUGUGUAAAUGUACCACAUUUUCUGUAUCCAUUCUUCUGUUGAGGGACAUCUGGGUUCUUUCCAGCUUCUGGCUAUUAUAAAUAAGGCUGCUAUGAACAUAGUGGAGCAUGUGUUCUUAUUACCAGUUGGAACUUCUUCUGGGUAUAUGCCCAGGAGAGGUAUUGCUGGAUCUUCGGGUAGUAGUAUGCCCAAUUUUCUGAGGAACCUCCAGACUGACUUCCAGAGUGGUUGUACAAGCUUGCAAUCCCACCAGCAAUGUUCCUUUCUCCACAUCCUCGCCAGCAUCUGCUGUCACCUGAAUUUUUGAGCUUAGCCAUUCUGACUGGUGUGAGGUGGAAUCUCAAGGUUGUUUUGAUUUGCAUUUCUCUGACGAUUAAGGAUGUUGAACAUUUUUUCAGAAGAAUGGAUCAAUUCGCAUUCUUGUACAUGAUAACCGCCUGUUGUACCAGCACCAUUUGUUGAAAAUGCUGUCCUUUUUCCACUGGAUGGUUUUAGCUCUCUUGUCAAAGAUCAAGUGACCAUAGGUGUGUGGGUUCAUUUCUGGGUCUUUAAUUCUAUUCCAUUGAUCUACCUGUCUGUUGCUGUACCAGUACCAUGCAGUUUUUAAUCACAAUUGCUCUGUAGUACAGCUUAAUGUCAGGCAUGGUGAUUCCACCAGAAGUUAUUUUAUUGUUGAGAAUAGUUUUUGCUAUCCUAGGCUUUUUAUUUUUCCAGAUGAAUUUGCAAAUUGCCCUUUCUAUCUCAGUGAAGAAUUGAGUCGGAAUUUUGACACCAUCUGAAAUUUUUAGGCAUCCCAAAGCAUGUCCCACAUGAAGAUGUCCACCCCCAAUCUGCUCUAAAAGUACAAGACUCAAUGAAUAAUCAGAAUGUAACAACCACCUCUGAUUUGAGACAGCCCC